UGUGAUACACAAGUACGAGAAGUAUGCCACGAUUAACAGCUGAAGAGAGAGAAAGAGCCAUUGGGAUGGUGUAGGUGGGGUCGACAUACAGUGCUGCUGCCAACGCCCUCUGAUGCGAAACAGUAAAGU